rnacentral:rRNA from 1 species
CCUACGGGAGGCAGCAGUGGGGAAUAUUGGACAAUGGGGGAAACCCUGAUCCAGCGACGCCGCGUGAGUGAAGAAGUAUUUCGGUAUGUAAAGCUCUAUCAGCAGGGAAGAACAUGACGGUACCUGACUAAGAAUCACCGGCUCACUACUUGCCAGCAGCCACGGUAAAACGUAGGGAGCAAGCGUUAUCCGGAUUUACUUGGUGUAAAGGGAGCGUAGACGGUGCAGCAAGUCUGCUGUGAAAGGUCGGGGCCCAACCCCGGGACUGCAUUGGAAACUGUUGAACUGGAGUACAGGAGAGGUAAGCGGAAUGCCUGGUGUAGCGGUGAAAUGCGUAGAUAUUAGGAGGAACACCAGUGGCGAAGGCGGCUUACUGGACUGUAACUGACGUUGAGGCUCGAAAGCGUGGGGAGCAAACAGGAUUAGAUACCCCUGUAGUC